UUCCGGGCCCCGUGCAGCGGGAAGCUGCGAACCCCGCCAGGUCCGGAAGGAAGCAACGGUAGUGGCCCCUCCCGUGUGCCGCGGGCCACCCGGAGCUU
rnacentral:SRP_RNA from 1 species